UACGUAGGGGGCAAGCGUUGUCCGGAUUUAUUGGGCGUAAAGAGCUCGUAGGUGGUUCGGUAAGUCGGAUGUGAAAUCUCCAGGCUCAACCUGGAGGGGUCAUUCGAUACUGCCGUGACUAGAGUUCGGUAGGGGAGACUGGAAUUCCUGGUGUAGCGGUGAAAUGCGCAGAUAUCAGGAGGAACACCGGUGGCGAAGGCGGGCCUCUGGGCCGAUACUGACGCUGAGGAGCGAAAGCGUGGGGAGCGAACAGG
rnacentral:rRNA from 1 species